GUUGUGGUUAAAAAGCUCGUAGUUGGAUCUCGGCGGUCUGAGGGCGGUUCGCUUGAUUGAGUGCUACUGCUCUAUAGGCCGUGGUUUUGCCAGAGGUCUCGGGGUGCUCUUAACCGAGUGUCCUGCGAUGCUGGCAGGCUUACUUUGAAAAAAUUAGAGUGCUCAAAGCAGGCUUUUACGCCUGAAUAUUCGUGCAUGGAAUAAUAGAAUAGGAAGUCGUUUCUAUUUUGUUGGUUUUCGGAAAUCGACUUAAUGAUUAAUAGGGGCAGUCGGGGGCAUUUGUAUUCAAACGACAGAGGUGAAAUUCUUGGACCGUUUGAAGACAAACUACUGCGAAAGCAUUUGCCAAGAAUGUUUUCAUUAAUCAAGAACGAAAGUUAGAGGUUCGAAGGCGAUUAGAUACCGCCCUAGUUCUAACCAUAAACGAUGCCAGCUAGCGAUCUGCCGACGUUUUCUUUGUAGACUCGGCAGGAAGCUUCCGGGAAACCAAAGCAUUUGGGUUCCAGGGGGAAGUAUGGUUGCAAAGCUGAAAACUUAAA
rnacentral:rRNA from 1 species